GUCUCUGUUAAGACUCAGGGUCUUUCAGCUUUUAUUUCUUACUCUCAAAAGGAAGGUCCGAGUGAGUCUGAUCAGUUUCAGGGACUUCUUGAAGCUAUUUUGAGUUGUAUGUCUUCCUAUUUAAGGAGCUUCCCUGCAGGAUGGAACAUUUUGAUCUCCCAGGAAAUCGUUACGCAACAGAAAGUGUCAAAUUAGCAAGGAAAUCUGGAAAAUCUAGAGGCACAUAUUCAGGAAAUUACUUUAUAGACGAAAAGAAGUAUGUAUUUCAGGGAAGAAUUUCUACCCAUUUUGAAAUGACUGUAACAUUUCCCUCCCAAACUAUACAGGGUAGCAUUUCUAAAACUUCAAUGUGUAUGCUCCGUUGAGUAGAGGCUGCAGAGGGAGAGUCCUGAGACUCAGACCAUUAGGAAAUCGUUAAGCUGUUGAUCUCUUGUGGCCUGCUCCCUCUCUACAGCAAUAAAUCACCUGUCUGCUCAGCACCUCAAGGGUUCCAGGAAUGUGUGAUCACCAGACUCUUCCACCAUUGCUGGUCAGAAAAACCUCAUGGGUGGGGUUUGCUUC
rnacentral:lncRNA from 1 species